rnacentral:rRNA from 1 species
GAAUCGCGAUAAGUAAUGUGAAUUGCAGAUUUUCAGUGAAUCAUCGAAUCUUUGAACGCACCUUGCGCUCCUUGGUAUUCCAAGGAGCAUGCCUGUUUGAGUGUCAUUUUCGUUCUCAACCAACGGAGGGAUUCGUUGGCUUGGAGUUGGGAGUUGCUGGCUUCGUUCAGCUGUCCUGAAAGACAUUAGGCUAACGUGCACGGCUUUCAGGCGUGAUAAUGAUCGCCUUGGCUGGAGCGUGGCUUGAAUUAUCUUUAACCCCCCUUGACCUUGACCUCAAAUCAGGUAGGACUACCCGCUGAACUUAA